GCUAAGUGUUGUCUUAAUUUGUAAAGAAUAAAAUCACAUUGGAAGGCAUCAAUAGAUAGACUUAAAAAGUAUAGCUGGAAUUUAGGAACUAAAAAUGAAAAUUAAUGUCAAAAACAAGGUCUGGAGGGUGGGAGGAGAGGGCCAAAAGGCCUACUGAUCUCUCUUUGCUGCCACUGGUUCGUGGAUCCAUAUAUGGACCCUAUACAUGAAGUAAGAUUAAAAAAGUGCCUCAAUGAUAGACCUUGGCUUUUUAGGCCUUUUUAACAAGCCAGCUGGCAUGGAAGACAGUGAUUUCUCUUAUUCAAUCUCAGCUCGAGAGUAAUAUUUGGAAAAAGAAAAGGAUUCAUGGAGAGUUGGUUCUUUAAAUUCCAGAAUUUGUUUCUGUAAAAUUGUUGCCCAUAGAAAAAAUGCUGUUCCCCCCUAUAAGAAUGCAUGGAGUGGCAGAGUUGAAAACUUGAUGAACAUGGUUGUAGUCAUUGUAAAGGGAUCAUGCAGACUAGAUUCAGACUUUACUUCUUUUUUUAAUCUAAAUUUUCCUUUUCUUUUCUGUAAUUGUCAUAGUUGCCAAUUUGAUAUUGGUUUCACACUUCUGGCUAGGAAUUCUUUUGGUCUAGAUUCAGGUGUACCUCUCUUUCUUCUUUUCUAUCUUGUCUGUCUUGCUUAUCAGCAUUCUGUUGGUUAAAUAGAUUUUAACCUACUAGCAUUUUCAUCACUUGUUUGAAGCCUGAAUUUCUUGUUUUUAUGAUUGGGAUGGAGUGAUGGAAUGCCAGUAGUGGGUUUAAUUUCCUUUUUUUUUGCAUGCUCAGUUGUUUUACUGGCCUGUGCAGAAUUGCUUCCCUUUAUAUGUGUAACGCUGAACCUUGAUGCUUUUAUUUAUUUGUUUAUAAUUUGCUUACUUGCUGCAUUAUAUUUUUGGUAAAAAAGUCAAACACUUUAUGUUCUGAUCUUCUAUGAUUUGAGUUUGUGGUGCUUUUUU
rnacentral:misc_RNA from 1 species